rnacentral:rRNA from 1 species
UACAGAGGUCUCAAGCGUUGUUCGGAUUCAUUGGGCGUAAAGGGUGCGUAGGCGGCGUGGUAAGUCGGGUGUGAAAUCUCGGAGCUUAACUCCGAAACUGCAUUCGAUACUGCCGUGCUUGAGGACUGGAGAGGAGACUGGAAUUUACGGUGUAGCGGUGAAAUGCGUAGAUAUCGUAAGGAAGACCAGUGGCGAAGGCGGGUCUCUGGACAGUUCCUGACGCUAAGACGCGAAAGCGUGGGGAGCAAACAGG